CCUACGGGAGGCAGCAGUGAGGAAUAUUGGUCAAUGGGCGAAAGCCUGAACCAGCCAAGUCGCGUGAGGGAAGACGGCCCUACGGGUUGUAAACCUCUUUUGUCGGGGAGCAAGCCUGAGCACGUGUGCCCAGGCGGAGAGUACCCGGAGAAAAGGCAUGGGCUAACCCCGUGCCAGCAGCCGCGGUAAUACGGAGGAUGCGAGCGUUAUCCGGAUUUAUUGGGUUUAAAGGGUGCGCAGGCGGGCUGUUAAGCCGGCGGUAAAUAUUCAGGGCUCAACCCGGUCGGGCCGUCGAAACUGGCAGCCUUGAGUGGGCGAGAAGUAGGCGGAAUGCGUGGUGUAGCGGUGAAAUGCAUAGAUAUCACGCAGAACGCCGAUUGCGAAGGCAGCAUACCGGCGCCCAACUGACGCUGAGGCACGAAAGCGUGGGGAUCGAACAGGAUUAGAUACCCCAGUAGUC
rnacentral:rRNA from 1 species